UGUCCAGGAAUGGGAAUCGAACCCACAAUGUUCCGCUUACCGGGCAGAUGCCAUGUCCACUAGGCUACCCUGGC